UGCCUACUGAAAAUUAACUUCCAGUUAACUGAAUUCUGUGAGCCGUGCCAAUGUAAGAAUAAUGUACCAAAGCCAAUUUGGCAGCUCCUCUUAGCUUCACCCCACCUGGAGAGCAUAUCCUUGUUAAGACAGAUAUUCUCCUUUUACCAAGGAAGAACGUGAAUCUCAAAGAGGUUAAGGAAAUUACCCAAAGCAAUGUAGAUGAUAAAGAAGCUGAGAUUUAAAGAUGUUAAGUAGCUGGGCGUGGUGGCUCACGCCUGUAAUCCCAGCACUUUGGGAGGCUGAGGCGGGCGGAUCACCUGAGGUCAGGAGUUCGAGACCAGCCUCAACAUGGAGAAACCUCAUCUCUACUAAAAAUACAAAAUUAGCCGGGCAUGGUGGUGCAUGCCUGUGACCCCAGCUACU